rnacentral:lncRNA from 1 species
UCAGCAAAGGAGCCAAAGAUGAGAAAAGAACAGUCCACCACAAGGGCCAGUGAGUAUUCCAUCUCCUCUGUAUCAAGUGAUUCUAUGGUCCCAAAUCACACCCUCAAGGAAGAAGCUCCUGUUUCCAUGCAAAUAUCCAACUCAACACCAAAUCCAAGUUCCUUUUUUUACCCAGAAGGAAGUCUUAAAACACCUCAGGAAUAUGUUCCGAAAACGGCUGCCUUAGAUACAGCAAAUGAAGGCAUAAAAAUCUAUCAGGAGAACCAAUUUUCUCUGCCUGGGAGAAUCUCUGGAUCGGGGCUUGUUACUUCAGAUGGUGAUUCAUCGAAUGUGAGUAAUGUCGACCAGCAGGUGCUUCAUAAAAAGGUUUUUCAUUCUGAGCGCAUUCCACGAGAUAUGGCAGAAAGUAAACGUUUGUCUAAAUCUGAUGAUUCCCUUGGUUCCCAAUUUGUAAUGGCUAAGUCAACUUCAGAUGCAUUCCUACCUAUUAGCGAAUCAGCUGAAACUUUUCAUGAAGCUAAUAUGGAGUCCCAGAAUGUUCAUUCUAGCGCACCAGUAAGGCCAGCUCCUGAAAGCCUCUGGACAGCGGAGGGUAAUAUUUCACAAUUUGAAAAAAGGAACUUGGAGCCGAACGCCCCAGAGCACGUAAGUCAGUCAGAGGCUUCAGAUAAGGCUGUUCCGCGAGGACACCUAGAGAACGGGGAUAUUGUUGUUGAUAUUAAUGAUAGGUUUCCUCGUGAUUUUCUUGCUGAUAUAUUGAAAGUGAAAGAGUCUCUAAGCUUCCCUGGGUUAGGGCCAUUGCAUGGUGAUGGAGCUGGAGUGAGUGUAAAUGUUCAGAAUCUUGACCCUAAAAAUUGGUCGUAUUUUCGAAAUUUGGCGCAGGAUGAGUUUGAGAGGAAGGAUCUAUCCCUUAUGGACCAGGACCACCCUGGAUUUCCCACUUCCCUUACUAAUACCGACGGAGUUCCUAUUGAUUAUAGCUACCCACCAUUGCAAUCAGAGAAAAUUGCUCCAACUCGGUUAAAACCACAAAUCCACUUUGAUGAGAAUAUCCAGCCGCAUGUGUCCACUACUGCCGUGGCUGAUUCGAGAACAGCAGACACACAAGAAGAUUACGGUCAGUCACAGUUCAAAGGUGCUGAAACCACAGAUGCAAAUGUGGUAAGCUUUUUUGUUUUCAACCCAAAUAUGAAAAAUCUAAUAAAAUUUAACUACCGGAAAAAUACAUGUUUCAACUAAUAUAUUUGGAUAUGUAGAAUACUGGAGUUCCUCUUAUUGACCUUGUUGCUGAGGACAGUAGCCACAGGUCUCUGCAGGUAUGCUAUGCCUUAGUUAGUUUAUGGCUUAACAUGUUUACUAGGUGUUGCAUUUAACGCUCUCUUUUUAACCAGAUAACAUGUUUACAACCCAAGUACCAAAAGGAUUUUAUAUUUUAUCAACCAAGUUAUGACUUUCCAAUAAAUGAUUUAGCUGCCUUUCUAUUUUUUGGUAUUUGUCUGUUAUUGUUUUAAGGAAUUUUUUAGAAAGAUCACAAUGUACGCUGCUUAUAGACUAGACUAAAGUAGUGCAUGUCCCCAUUGGCAGCCGAAACCAUUGGAGCUUAAGAAUUAUAUCGUCAAUCUUGCUCCUGGUUUUCUCACUGAUUGUGUCCAUUUUAUUUUUGUUUCAGGUCAUUAAAAAUGAUGACUUGGAAGAACUGAAGGAACUAGGUUCUGGUACCUUUGGAACUGUUUACCAUGGAAAAUGGAGGGGUACAGAUGUUGCUAUCAAGCGAAUAAAAAGGAGCUGUUUCAUUGGUCGUUCAUCUGAACAAGAGAGACUGGUAAGUACAUUUGCUAUCCCGUGGUUCUCCCAAAUUACAUUAUUUGUCUGCUUUAUGGUCAAUAGAGUACUGCUAGAAGACACUACUACUGUCCCCAGAACAGAGCCGUUUUGCUGUUCUUUUUUCUCUUGCAUGAAGCGGCUGUUAGAUGCUUGUUAUAAGCACGAAUUUGACAUCUCCUAUAUAGUAUAGUUUUACUAAAUUUGUCCUCCACUGCAGAAUAACGCUUCUUACUAUCCAUAAAACCGCAUUAGUUUAACUGAUUUUCAUUUUCAGUAACCAAUGAUUGAAAAUUUCAGACCUCUGAGUUCUGGCAUGAAGCUGAAAUUCUUUCCAAGCUACAUCAUCCAAAUGUGAUGGCAUUCUACGGCGUAGUGAGAGAUGGGCCAGGAGGGACUUUAGCUACAGUGACAGAGUACAUGGUCAAUGGAUCGCUUAGACAUGUUCUGCUCAGCAACAGGUAAUUAUUUACACAUCUCGUUGCUAUUCUUGCUUUCUAAAAACAACUUUAGAUGUAAACCAGUUCACAUUUGGGGAAUUACAGGCAGAUUGAUCGACGUAAGCGACUCAUCAUUGCAAUGGAUGCAGCUUUUGGAAUGGAGUAUUUGCACUCAAAGAACAUAGUGCAUUUCGAUUUGAAAUGUGACAACUUGCUUGUCAACUUAAAGGAUCCCGCCCGUCCGAUUUGCAAGGUAAUUUUCUUGGACAGUUCGUUAUGUAACAUUGUCAUAUUGUUUUGCUUAUGUGAUAAGAGAGAGGAUGGUUUAUGCAGGUUGGUGAUUUUGGUCUGUCAAAGAUAAAAAGAAACACUUUGGUCACUGGUGGUGUAAGAGGAACCCUCCCUUGGAUGGCUCCCGAACUACUUAGUGGCAGCAGCAGCAAAGUUUCUGAAAAGGUAUGUAACCCAAUGCUCUCACACUAGCGUUGGAAGAUGAAUUCAGUUUCUAUUCAUUUAGUUUCACUGCCCUUAAAUGAUUUUCAAGUAAUGUUUCGCCUUCAUUUACAAACAGGUCGAUGUGUUCUCUUUCGGAAUAGUUUUGUGGGAAAUUCUUACCGGUGAGGAACCCUACGCCAAUAUGCAUUACGGAGCAAUCAUUGGUAAAUUGCUGUCUCUUCUGUCGUUUACUCUCCGCGUUUCUUUUCUUACCAAACAAGGUUGAAGCUUAAUCUGUUUUGGUUGUCUGAAUCUUUCACCUAUUGUAGGAGGCAUAGUGAACAAUACACUGAGACCAACCGUGCCAAGCUACUGUGACCCGGAAUGGAGGAUGCUGAUGGAGCAGUGUUGGGCUCCUGACCCAUUUGUUCGACCUUCCUUCCCAGAGAUAGCCAGACGUCUCCGCACCAUGUCCACCUCUGCAGCAAAAGCCCACGCGGCCAAUCACCAAGUCCACAAGUAAUCUACUAUAUGUUCAUUAUUACCGGUACGUAAUUCCCUCUUGUAAAAGUUUGUGUAUAAAAAACAUCGCUGCGUCUUCUUUCGGAUUUGAGAGUGUUGAUUUGUACAAGAAGUCCUAAACAUGUAUCCAUAUUUGUAUAGCCAUUAUUAUUAUUAUUAUUGAGUGUAAGUAAAUUGGUUUUGGUACGAUGACAUUGCUCUUCUUCUGUAAUUUUGAGUUUUUUUCUUCCAAUGAAAAAGCAAUCUAGUAAAUGCAUGAUUUUUGGUAUAAUAAUUUUAUACAAAUGUCUUAAGAUUUAUUCAUUUUUACUGCAUGAAACUAGUACACCAUCAGCCAUUUCUGCAUUUUGUAGUUUUUAAAAUUUAUUUCGUCCAGUUUAAAACUGAAAAUUAUUAAUUUUGUGUAAUCAAAUAUGAAUUUAUAAAGUAUAUUAGUUUUUUAUACAUAGAAAAUCUGACCGACAUUCAAAAGGCUCCCUUGAGGAACAUUGAAGAUUACACUAUGUUCUCUACAAAUCUUCCUUAGAAACGCGUACACAUAGUCAAUGGCUAUCUUCUUGUAGAACCUCGCUUGCCUCCUAGCUCGAAUCACCGUGUUCCCCAUUAUGUGCACCACUCCCGCAUCCCUGCACCUAUUUAUGAACUCCAGCUCGUCUACUCCACCGCUUAUAUAAUGAGGUUGGAUGUAUUAAAUGGUAAUACCAUUGCUUAUAUGCGGAAGGUUUACUCGUAGCCCACCUGCAACUGAGGGAAACACUUUAAUUUAUGAUCCAAUCACUAGCUUUGGGAGCACUCAUAUGUUCAAGUUGCAUGUACUAAGGCCUUGAUUGUUUCAACCGUAAGAUUUAAACUUCAUUUUCAAGAAACAUAACAGUUUUUUCAUUUUUUCAUUAAAAAAAGUCAAAGGUUCGAUCGUGCGACGGAUUACUUGGAAUGAUAAUUGAUUGUUUGUUUAUGCUGUCGAUGCGAUGUCGUGGCCCUCGUGGGUUCAUUGGUUCGAAACUCUACAACGAAAAGUUUGCUGUAAAGACAUAUCCUGAUGACUGAUGUAAAGUUGGACAAACGUUUUCUCCUUUCCACCUUCUUCUUUCAACAAAUUAAAUUAAAUUAAUAAAAUUAAUUGAUGUUUCUAUAAAAAUCUUGAUUUACAUUUCAAUCGUUCUAUAAGGUUAACGAUAAAACAAAUCUUGUUACUAUGAUAUUUCAAGUUUCCUUUCCAAUUUAAUGAUCUCAUCAUUAAUUUAAAAUAUAUUUUACGUUUUGAUGAUUCCACCAUAUCAUCAAACUUUUUAUGAAGCUAUAUAUAUUUUUUUUGUCAACAUGAAGCUAUAUUUUAAUGGUGAAGAAUAAAAUAAAAGUAAGUUAAAAAAAUUAAGAAGGAAAUAAAAUAAGUUGUGUUUUUACCUUUUACUUUAAUGUUAUGUAGCAUAAAAAUCGAACGGUGAACCUGGAAUUCGAUUCCCGUUAGCCACCAGAUAAUUUAACAUUGCAUUUAUGGGAUCUACGGAAUAGUCGCUAGAUACUGUAAUUAAUUCAAAAAAAAUUCUUUGGCAUGUGCAUAUAUAUAGAUUGAAAAUAUUUGAUCUUUUCGUUUUUCUCGUUUGAUUGGUACAUUAGUAACAUUACUAAAAGUAGUAAAGCGUAUAACAUUUUAAUCCAAUUUACUAGGUUAAGACUAGCGCUUUGUGUAUGGUGAAUGUAUUUUAACGAUAACAAUAUUACAUAUUAAUAAAUAGGUUGCAAAAUAUAUAAUUAUAGGUAAAGAUCUACGUUUUGCGCAAAAUGAAUGUGUAUAUAUAAAAUAAUUAAAUUAAAUUUAUAUUUUAAUUUUUAAUUUUUUUAUUGGACAUUAUAUAGAAAAUUUAUAAUAUGUAAAUUUUAAUUAUAUACAUAUAUUACAUAUAGAAUGAUUUGGUUUGUGAAUUAUAUAUUCAAUUAUCUUUAUCUAAUAGAGAUGAGACAUGUGGAACUUUGAAGAUUAGAUAUGUUAAUAAGUUGUUAAUAAAUAAUGAUGGGUUGAUGAACUGUUUAAAUAAUCGUUGGACUUUAGCUAUGUCAAGAGCUCACAGAUUUAGUGGCUCUACUCUUUAAACUCAUUUGGUGAAGUAACAUAUACUCGUAUCUUGGUUGUUUUUAUAUAAUUAGCUUAAUGUCUAAUUUAAAUAUUAGAUAUUAAAUAUAUAACUCUAAAAUUCUGUUACAUAAUCAUAACUGAAAGUGCCUAAUGACAUUCAAAUAAGUUAAGAAAAGUGCUGAGCAAAAAGUGCUCUAUAGUGUAAUAAAAACUCAUAAUGUAAACCUGAAUGUAAAAAAUUCAAGAAUAUAUCACAUUCAAAAAUGUGAACCGUGUGAUGUUGUGUAAAGAAUCGCUGCUGACCGCUAAUAUUAAUAAAUCAAUAUCAUGAACACGGACGGAACAUGACUUGACUGUUUGGUUUGAGAAUUUAAAUUUAUAUAUCGAAAGUUUAAUGGUAUUUGUUAGACUAUAAAAUGAUUUUUUUACGGGAUUACUUGGGAUAAGAAAUUAUUAUUCGAAACUUUCAAAGACUAGUACAACUAAUGCUUAUUUAAUUUGUUUAAUUGUUUCUCGUUAUCCUUGAAAUAUAUUUAUUAAUAAAAAUUAUAUAAACAACACUAAUGUUCUUACAAAUAUUAUUAUUUAAAAAAAUAUAAAUUAUGUUUACAUAUAAAAUUUAACAAAUCAUAUAAAAAUAUAAGUAAAAAUUAAUAAAAGUACAAGUAAAAAUUAAUAAAAAUAUAAGCAAAAAUAUAGAAACUUUAAGUAAAAUAUAUUUUUUAAAUGGAGAUUUUUUUAUUAACAAUUGAUUUUAGUAAAUUAUGAUUGAUUAUGGUGAAUAUAUUGGUGAUGAUAUUAACAAAUAUUGCUAUACAAUUAAUUUUAUAAAAUUAUCUUUAAUAACUAUUAAUGUAUUUGAAUUGGUUAAAAAUCUAAUGUAAUAAUUUAUAUUAUAUAUAUAUAUUUAUAUUUAUAUAUUUAUAUAUGAUUAUUAAGAAAAAUAUAAAAAUAUGUUGUUAAAAGUUUGGUUAGGGUAUAUAAACAUGUUGGACCGAGUAGAAAUGACAAUUAAAAUGUUGAUUGUAAGUAAUUAAAUAUAUCAGAUGUUGAAUUCUUAUUAUUAUGUAUACAUGUAUGCAGUAAACACAUUAACAUGAUUAAUAUGCAGAAUCAAAACAUCGGGGUUUGGUGGCUCGGAGUGAUCCUUGAGCACGGCAUCCUAGAGCCCCUAGGAUAUUGGCCUGUAAUACUUUUUAACCGCCUAAACGAUUACGCAGAACGGGUGGAAUGGGGUAGUGAAAUCAUCAAUCAGGAAAAUCUCGGUUGGCAUACCACGAUCGAAAUGGGAUCCGGAUAUAUGUCUGACAGCGUGUAUGGGAAAGCCGCCUAUAUGCGGAACCUAGAAGUCGCAUUGUCGGCAAAUGUCUUCAAGCCGCUCGAAGACCUCUUCGUAGGAUCUACUCACCCAAAUUAUUACCGAUCAAAGAAGUCAAACAGUUCUGCGUUUGGGGCCAACUUCUAUUACGGAAGUCCUAAACAACUCUUGCUCGCAGUCCAUCUUAAGUUGCACUCGUCUCUUGUUUAUAUAUGUUUCGCUGUGUGUUUUCUACUCUAGUUUCUUUUGGUUUGUUUGUUGUAUUUUGUUGGGGAGUUAAUAUGUUAUUUUGCUACAUGUAAGAGUUUCUUAUAGUAUGAACGUCGAGACAUAUAUUUUAACUCUGAUGUAAUAAUUGGAAAUGGUCUAAUUUCUGGAAUGAACUUGACCAAUCCAACAGAAAAAAAAAAAAGAAACCGGUUUUGGAGACACAACAAAGAAGAUGAGAGGUUAACCCUGUUUGGUCCUCAAUACCGGCGGAUAUUAACCGGUUUACUAUAUAUGCAACCGUGUAUAGAACCAACAAACCAAAACUAACUUAAAUAACGGACAAAAAAACGUGACGGCAAGGCUCGGAUCGGGAAGCUAUCAUGGUGGCAGAAUGUGAAUGUAUAUGGGAGUCAAAUUGGUCUUGUGGAUUUAUCCAUUCAGUAACUGCAAAAAUACGCCUCGUUUCACAUCCGAAGCUAUUGAAUAGAAACUCAUUAGUGAUUUCCAAAUAAACCAAAGUUCCCUAAUCCCUUUCGUUUCUUCUACUCAGUUAACUUGUAUUCAUCUCGCAUAUCUUUUCAUCUAAACGUAUGCUUAAUUUCUUCUUUAUCACUCUCUAAAAAGCAUUUUAAAUUAUUACUUGCAAUGAUGAAGUAUCGAACAGUUGAACAGUGACUAAUUAAGGCUUAAAAUUUUAGAGAGAGUAAGACACUAUCUCAAACACUGGCAGAAAACAACUGAAGCCUGAGUUGUAAUUCACUUUUUAUGACAUGUGCAGAGUAACAAUGAGGUCAAAAAGAAUAGCUGUUGGGUCCGUUUAAAGUGUAACACUCUAAUACUAGUACCAAGUACGAGAAAACUAAUGGAAUCUACAAGCAAAGAAGUAUUUCAAAAUCUAUCUUCCUUACGAAUCUGUUACCAAUGCUUUUCCAAACCGAAAAGGUUAGGCCACUUGAGGUGGAUAUCUCCUUCUGUAAGUCUCGGGGCCAAGAAGUUGAGCGAGUUCAAGCUCCUCCACAAUCUGAUGACUCUCACUCAAGAGACAAAGCAAAUUUGGUUAUACGGAAGUGACUAGACCAGUUUGGUUUGUGCAUAGACAUGAGCAGUCUGGUUCAGUAGAAUUUCUUAAGACAAGACGUUUUUCACGGUUACUCAUUAGCUUGAUGAGUGGUAGCUUCUGUGAGACUUGACGCCAGAUCUCCUUCACUGCUCCAUUUGGGUUAUCAUAAUCAAAAUACCGUCUUACCUAUAUGCCCCAUCAUCAUUCACGUGUGAGAAAACGUCUACUUAAAAGAGGUUAGAAGUUGAAUAAAUAGAGAAACGUACCUGUUUCAUCUCUCUUUGAUACUCAAGAACCUUCUCGGUUCCUAUUCUCCUCAGCAUCCCAACCAAGAACCCUGGCUCCAGAGCCACACCGGCCUCGACGAAAAUCGAAAACUUUCUGUAAUCUAUAACAUCUUCAAAAGGCAACUCGAUGCUAUCGCUUACAAUGACGGGCACACACAAGCUGACUAUGGAGUCAAAGAGUCUGCAUGCGGAUGGAGUGUCACCCGCAGGGUUUAGACAGAACUUUGAAGUAUGCAUUCCUUUCGUAGCCGCUCGUCGGUUCUCUCUUGAUUGAGUCCCAUGUUUGAUGGUUACAUCUUCUUCCUUUUCAAGUACUUGGAAUAGCAAAUCACGAACUUUCCCGCCCUAAAGACAGCCAAAAAAAAAAAAAGCAACUCAUAUUGUUCGUUUUGCUGACUAAUCGCAAAACAUUAUAUACAUGGUUAAAUAUUUUAGCGAUUUAAAAUUAAUUGUAACUAGUCCUGCUACGGACAAACAACAUUUGAUUGUAGAUCGCAACGACAUUCAAACCAACAUGCCCAUUGAUUUAAACUUACAUCUUUGCGGUAUCGAUUCCCCAUGAAGAAGAGCAACGUGCUGCGAGCCUCCACGCCAAUCUCUCCAGCGAAGAGAUUGACCCUAUGAGAGUAAGGUAUCACCACAUCUUUAACGAACGAUCCUUGAUCAGGCCUAAUCCUCCCAAAAUCCGCCACCAGGAGAACCGCGUUCUUGACCCGGUCCAAGAUCCGAUACAGCGCGUUCGGAUCACCCGCGGGAACCACGUGAUCUCUCCCUUUGUUCCUCCUCCACCACUCUUGGCUCUCAAGCCAGUCCAUCAACUCCUCCUGCAUCUUCUCGUCGCUGUAACCCGACCCGGGAUCCACGGGUCGACCCGCGUUCACGAUUAAACUGAGGGAAGAGAACACGGGGACGUAGAAAAGAUCAGCGUCGGCAGGAUCCGACACGCGGGUGAUCGGAGACCCGGGUCGAUCCGCCUCGGGUCGGUUUAGAUCCGAGAAGAGGUACCACUCGUGCAUAUGCUGGUGACCCGGAUACUUGAGCGUGGUGGGGUUCUUCAGCCCAUUGCGGACGAUUGCGUGCUGUUCGAUUACACCGUGAGUGAAUCUGUUGGGGAGAUCGUACAUGUAAACUUUAACUUUAGGAUGAAUCAGAGCACGUGGUUGUUCAUCUUCUUCGCGGAUGAGAUCGGAGGAGGAAGGGAGGGAGGGGCUGACGGAGGCGUUGAGGAUGACGUAGAUGGCGAUGACGGAGACGACGGCGAUGGCUGCUCGUUUGAGAAGGGAUGAUUUACGCGCCAUUGUUGGAAGCUUGUGUUAAGGGUUUUCAAGGGAGAAGAGAUUGAAGAAAUGUAACUUAUUAGCAGCUAAAGUCAAAGACUUGUGAAGAUGACUCGUCGUGAUUUAGGUUCGGUCCAAAUCUUCCAUAACAGCUUAUUUAUUUAUUUGUAUCAAUAGUUUUCAUUUUAAUAUUAAUUUAUUUUCUAUUAAAAAUAUUCUUAGAAAUUUAUCUUUUAUCAUGGACAUUUACUUUGUGAUCAUUUUACUUGUAUGAUUGUAUCUAGUAUGGGGCAAAAAAAUCAAAACAUAUAUAAAUGUCAAUAUAUAUAUAUCCACAUAUUAUAUUACAUAAAAUAAAAAGGCAAAUUUGUAUAUUAUAUAUUGUAUAAUAGUUGUAAAAAAAAUAUUGUAUAAUAUAAUCUGAAUCUAUACUAUAUUAAAAAAGGGUUAUAUGAGCAUCAGAGAGGAUGUCUACGUCCGACGAUAAAAUCUACCAAUCAAAGAUAGUUUUUCUGCCACGUCACAAUCAGGCUUCCCAAAAAAAUUGUGUCUAUCUGAAUCGUCUUUUCAUCUUUUUUCCUCAUACAAAACGUGAAGUUUCUUCAGAUGAUUGUCUUCUCAACUUCCAUAUCAUCCUCCAUCACUCAUAAUUAUAUAUUGAUCCAACCCAUAGAGACACUAACAAUAGAUUGAUUCGUCUGUUUGAUUCAAAAUCAUCACCUCCACUCAGUUCUAAAUACAAAUUUCCCAGUUUCAGAAUUCAGAUCGACCUGGGAGUACUCAACCGACGAAUAAUAACAGCCGGUAUCACUUUGGAUCGGCCGUUCAACCGUGAAUAAUUAUAAAAGAGCCCCUGGCGGCAGUGUUUACCGGCAAAGUCGUUGCUCAGGGUGGUGAAGAGAAAACAUGGGAGUGCGAGGGCUUUGGGAGCUACUCGCUCCCGUUGGUCGCCGCGUCUCUGUCGAAACCCUAGCCGGGAAACGAUUGGCUAUCGGUACACAUGAUUAAUCAACCUUCAUUGUACCUCGCUACUAAGAACCACCGUUUCUUAGCCGAAAAAUGUAAAAAAAAAUAAAAUGUCAAAUCAUGAGUUAACAGACCGUGGCUAAUCAUGCCUUUAGUUUCAUGGUUGGAAGUGGAUUUGCAUGAGUAGGGCCCAAAAUUUAUUAAGAAAAAUAUAUUAAUUGAUUAUUUACUGUAAAUCUCAAGGCUCUGUGCUUGAGUAGUGCCUUUUUUCCUGAAGAAUAUGUUUGAUGCUCUAGUAAACUUACUACUCUUUCCUCCAUUUCAGGCACAUCAAUGAGAGUCUGAGUUGUUCAUGUUCCAAGUUCUAUUCUGCAGCCAAAGCGCUGGAUGUUUAACAAAGGAUGCAUAUGCGAAGAUUUUACUUGGGCUAUGAUAUGUGGACUCCAAGCGUCUGUGAAGGAGCUGGUAAACUAGAUGGAUAAAGAUAACAUGGAUCAAGCAAAGGGUUAUGAACACGUUCGGUAUACUGCCGCCCCUGACCCUAGGAGUGAGGGGAUUGGCUCUAUGAAUCAAAGGUUUUCUCAAGAUUCUUCAACUAAUGUUAACAUGAAUGUACGACCUCCAGAUUAUGCUAUUCCCACCCCUGCUCGGCCAGUGCUGAACUACUCCAUACAGACUGGUGAAGAAUUUGCUUUUGAGUUUAUGAGAGAUAGGGUGAUUAUGAAACCGCAGUUCAUACCCAAUGUGUACGGUGAGCCGCCCAGUGGUAUGCCUGUUUCUGUUAAUUUAAGUGCUAUGGGAAUGGUUCUUCCGGUGUCAGAGAGUGGCUCUAACCCCACGGUGCUUAGCGCAGCAGAGAAACGCCAUACCUUUGAGCAAGAGAGAAAACCUCCUGCUAGAAAGGAAGAUAAGAGCUACCAUGAGCUUGUCAAGUCAGACCCGGCUAUUUCUUCAAGAAAUGACACUGGCCAAAGGGUUCACAGUUUGGUUUCCUCUAGAGCUUCUGAUAGCUCUUUGAACCAGGCAAAGUUCUUGUGUAGUUUUGGGGGUAGAAUCAUACCCCGCCCCAGAGAUCAGAAACUUAGAUAUGUAGGCGGUGAAACGCGUAUCAUACGGAUUAGCAAGGAUAUUUCUUUCCAAGAACUCAUGCAUAAAAUGUCAGAAAUGUUCCCUGAAGUACGUACCAUAAAAUAUCAGCUUCCAGGCGAAGAUCUUGAUGCCUUAGUCUCUGUAUCUUCUGAUGAGGAUUUACAAAACAUGAUGGAGGAAUGUAACGUAUUUGGUAAUGGAGGAUCUGAGAAGCCCAGGAUGUUCUUGCUUUCAAGCAGUGAUAUAGAGGAGGGUCAGUUCGGUAUGGAAGCUGCAGAGGGUGAUUCUGAGGUUCAGUAUGUUGUUGCUGUCAAUGGGAUGGAUCUUGGUUCACGUAAAAGUUCCCUUGGUAUAACUGCUCCAGGGAACAAUUUGGAUGAACUACUUCACAGUAAUACUGACAGGGAGAUCAGUCGAGCUGCCACAGAACCAGCAGUAGCUUCGGUUGCUCCCUUGGCUGGUAAUGAGUCUUUGUCAGCGGGCCAAACUUCUCAACCCGUGGCAGGUUUUUCUACUGGUAAUGAACCAUUUUCACAGCCUUAUCUAGGACAGCAAGUGCACUUCACCGGACUUGGUAACCACCAAGUUUACACAUCAGCUCACAUGGCAAGCAUCGGCUAUAUAGAUGAGAAGGGGUCUGCUCCGUUGCAUGUUCAACCACAGCCUCAUUUUAUUCCUUAUUCUGUGAAUCCUGAAACGCCUCUUGAAGUUGUGGCGCCUCACUAUCCACAUAAACCAGAGCAAGGAGUUUUGCAUGAUGAGCAGAUCUACCAUGUACAAGAUUCAGAAGCUUCAACAAAAGAGGCCAAAAUGAGAAGAGAUGACUCGUUUAAGAAGGUAACUGAUCCUGCUAAUGUAUCUACUGUCGGGACCAGUCUUUCAGCAAAGGAACCAAAGAUGAGGAUAGAAUCAUCAACUCCAAGGGUCAGUGAGUACUCUGUUUCCUCUACGUCUGAUUUGAAAGUCCCAGAUCACGUCCUGAAGGAAGAAGCCCCGGUUUCCACACAAGUAUCCGAUUCAACACCAAAUCCAAGUACCUCAGCUUGUCCAGAGAAAAGUGGUAGAAAAUCCCAGGAUCAUGUUGAGAAUAAUCUUUCAGCAAAGGAGCCAAAGAUGAGAAAAGAACAGUCCACCACAAGGGCCAGUGAGUAUUCCAUCUCCUCUGUAUCAAGUGAUUCUAUGGUCCCAGAUCACACCCUCAAGGAAGAAGCUCCUGUUUCCAUGCAAAUAUCCAACUCAACACCAAAUCCAAGUUCCUUUUUUUACCCAGAAGGAAGUCUUAAAACACCUCAGGAAUAUGUUCCGAAAACGGCUGCCUUAGAUACAGCAAAUGAAGGCAUAAAAAUCUAUCAGGAGAACCAAUUUUCUCUGCCUGGGAGAAUCUCUGGAUCGGGGCUUGUUACUUC